GGGGGCGUACUGGUUUCGACUGAUUGUUUGAAGCGCAGGCGGCAUGUCGAGGAUGGUUCGUUGGCCUCGUUAAAAUCCGGACCAAAAAAAAUAAAUGCAGAUCACCAAGAUCUCGCUCUCGCGGCUUAAUUGACUGCGAUGUCCCGGGCUGGACGCCUGCUACGGCCCGGGACAUGGACAGCAGGCUAAUCGGACGGCGGAGUGACCGCGCCGGACGGUGAAGGAAUUUCGUGGUGGCUCGAUGGACGGCGUGUGCCGGUGCAACGUCCGACCAUUUAAAAAUAAUCACCGGCUACACAUGUAGAAGCUCGCGGAGAGAGCGAUUAGGACAGGGGUUCAACUCCCCUCGCCUCCAGCC
rnacentral:tmRNA from 1 species